UACAGAGGUCUCAAGCGUUGUUCGGAUUCAUUGGGCGUAAAGGGUGCGUAGGUGGCGGGGUAAGUCAGGUGUGAAAUCUCGAGGCUCAACCUCGAAACUGCACUUGAUACUGCCUUGCUCGAGUACUGGAGAGGAGAUUGGAAUUUACGGUGUAGCAGUGAAAUGCGUAGAUAUCAAGAGGAACACCUGAGGUGAAGACGGGUUGCUGGGCUGACACUGACGCUGAUGCGCGAAAGCCAGGGGAGCAAACGGG
rnacentral:rRNA from 1 species